rnacentral:rRNA from 1 species
GACGAACGCUGGCGGCGUGCUCAACACAUGCAAGUCGAACGGAAAGGCCCUGCUUUUGUGGGGUGCUCGAGUGGCGAACGGGUGAGUAACACGUGAGUAACCUGCCCUUGACUUUGGGAUAACUUCAGGAAACUGGGGCUAAUACCGGAUAGGAGCUCCUGCUGCAUGGUGGGGGUUGGAAAGUUUCGGCGGUUGGGGAUGGACUCGCGGCUUAUCAGCUUGUUGGUGGGGUAGUGGCUUACCAAGGCUUUGACGGGUAGCCGGCCUGAGAGGGUGACCGGCCACAUUGGGACUGAGAUACGGCUCAGACUCCUACGGGAGGCAGCAGUGGGGAAUAUUGCACAAUGGGCGGAAGCCUGAUGCAGCAACGCCGCGUGCGGGAUGACGGCCUUCGGGUUGUAAACCGCUUUCGCCUGUGACGAAGCGUGAGUGACGGUAAUGGGUAAAGAAGCACCGGCUAACUACGUG